rnacentral:rRNA from 1 species
GGGAUUGCCUCAGUAACGGCGAGUGAAGCGGCAACAGCUCAAAUUUGAAAUCUGGCCCUGUCGGGGUCCGAGUUGUAAUUUGUAGAGAGUGCUUCGGGUGAGACCGCGGUCUAAGUCCAUUGGAACAUGGCGUCAUAGAGGGUGAGAAUCCCGUAUGCGACUGUGGCUCGAGCCCAUGUGAAGCCUCUUCGACGAGUCGAGUUGUUUGGGAAUGCAGCUCAAAAUGGGUGGUAAAUUUCAUCUAAAGCUAAAUACUGGCUGGAGACCGAUAGCGCACAAGUAGAGUGAUCGAAAGAUGAAAAGCACUUUGGAAAGAGAGUCAAACAGUACGUGAAAUUGUUGAAAGGGAAGCGCUUGCAACCAGACCUGUCCGUGGGUGAUCAGCCGCUGUUCUCAGUGGUGCACUCGCUCUGCGAUCAGGCCAGCAUCGGUUCUGGCGGUCGGAUAAAGGCCUUGGGAAUGUAGCUCCCCCCGGGGAGUCUUAUAGCCCUCGGCGCAAUGCGGCCAGCUGGGACCGAGGACCGCGCUUCGGCUAGGAUGCUGGCGUAAUGGUUGUAAGCGACCCGUCUUGAAACACGGACCAAGGAGUCUACAACUUAUGCGAGUGUUUGGGUGUUAAACCCAUACGCGGAAUGAAAGUGAACGGAGGUGAGAACCCUUAAGGGCGCAUCAUCGACCGAUCCAGAUGUCUUCGGAUGGAUUUGAGUAUGAGCAUAAUUCGUGGGACCCGAAAGAUGGUGAACUAUGCCUGAAUAGGGUGAAGCCAGAGGAAACUCUGGUGGAGGCUCGCAGCGGUUCUGACGUGCAAAUCGAUCGUCAAAUUUGGGUAUAGGGGCGAAAGACUAAUCGAACCAUCUAGUAGCUGGUUCCUGCCGAAGUU